rnacentral:rRNA from 1 species
CCUACGGGUGGCAGCAGUGAGGAAUAUUGGUCAAUGGGCGAAAGCCUGAUCCAGCCAAGUCGCGUGAAGGAUGACGGCCCUCCGGGUUGUAAACUUCUUUUGCCAGGGAGCAAUUGAGUCCACGUGUGGGCUUAGCGAGAGUACCUGAAGAAAAAGCAUCGGCUAACUCCGUGCCAGCAGCCGCGGUAAUACGGAGGAAGCGAGCGUGAUCGGGAUUUAUUGGGUUUGAAGGGUGCGUAGGCGGAAUAUCAAGUCAGCGGUAAAAAUUCGGGGCUCAACCCCGUCGUGCCGUUGAAACUGAUGUUCUUGAGUGGGCGAGAGGUAGGCGGAAUGCGUGGUGUAGCGGUGAAAUGCAUAGAGAUCAGGCAGAACUCCGGUGGCGAAGGCAGCAUACCGGCGCCCAACUGACGCUGAGGCACGAAAGCGUGGGUAUCGAACAGGAUUAGAUACCCGGGUAGUC